rnacentral:rRNA from 1 species
AUUGAACGCUGGCGGCAUGCUUUACACAUGCAAGUCGAACGGCAGCGGGGGCUUCGGCCUGCCGGCGAGUGGCGAACGGGUGAGUAAUGCAUCGGAACGUGCCCAUGUCGUGGGGGAUAACGUAGCGAAAGCUACGCUAAUACCGCAUACGUCCUGAGGGAGAAAGCGGGGGGAUCUUCGGACCUCGCGCGAUUGGAGCGGCCGAUGUCGGAUUAGCUAGUAGGUGGGGUAAAGGCCCACCUAGGCGACGAUCCGUAGCGGGUCUGAGAGGAUGAUCCGCCACACUGGGACUGAGACACGGCCCAGACUCCUACGGGAGGCAGCAGUGGGGAAUUUUGGACAAUGGGCGCAAGCCUGAUCCAGCCAUGCCGCGUGAGUGAAGAAGGCCUCGGUGUAAGCUCUUCGUCCGGGGAACGAAAGUACGUGGUCGUCUAACAUAGGCCAUGGAGUGACGGUACCGGACUAAGAAG